AUCCAGCCGAUGAGUCCCAGCUAGGACGAAACUCGCGUCCUGGAU
rnacentral:hammerhead_ribozyme from 1 species